rnacentral:rRNA from 1 species
UACGUAGGGUGCAAGCGUUGUCCGGAAUUAUUGGGCGUAAAGAGCUCGUAGGCGGCUUGUCGCGUCUGCUGUGAAAACGCAAGGCUUAACCUUGCGCCUGCAGUGGGUACGGGCAGGCUAGAGUGCGGUAGGGGAGACUGGAAUUCCUGGUGUAGCGGUGGAAUGCGCAGAUAUCAGGAGGAACACCGGUGGCGAAGGCGGGUCUCUGGGCCGUUACUGACGCUGAGGAGCGAAAGCAUGGGGAGCGAACAGGAUUAGAUA